CACCCAGCACAGGAGGAUUGCCGCGGGUGGGGUGAGAAGAGGGGACCACAGGCAAACCUGCCCCACCUGGCCCAGUGUGAUGGCUCCAGGACCGGGUGCGGCGGCAGCUCCGGCUCUGCCCACGUGUCUAGGUCUCUACUAGCCACUCCCCAGGUUCUCUCUCCUGCACCCAAGGGUGCUCAUCUUCCCCUGCUGCCAAGUGACUUUGCAGCCCCUUCUCUCCCUUCUUUUACUUCAUUGCUAGAACGUUGGGUUGUGCCAGUUCCCUGGUUCUAACCUUGGGUUCUCUUACCCACGUUCUGCUUCUCCUCCUCGCCACUCUCCUCAAUUGAACAUUUCCUCCAGAAAUCCCAUCGUGGCUCUACAAGUUGUAAGAAGUUGAGCACAUUAGUGUCAUAACAGAAAGGCGGAAGUAUACCAUCUCUUGAAGCUGCAGGUAGAAUUUCAGGGCAGCGGGUGCGGUCAGGGAUGAGGUCACAAUGCUUCCUUCUGUUUGGAGGGCAGAGCAUUGGACGUGAUGAGCAGGGCCAGAAAGGAAGUUCAAUGUUCCUCACAUUGAGACAACUUGGGGGACCAGAGAGGUUUGUCCCACAUCAGGGGGAUCCCUCAAAGAGAGGUCUGCCUGGAAGGACUUGAACAUUAGUGAGGAACCCUGGGGAUGCUGGUGGGAGCCCAGAGCUCGGAAGAACUUCAUUCUCAGCAAAGAUUGUGCAGUGGGCAUCACCGGACAGCAUCUCACUCCUGCAGUGAUUAGUAUAAAUCAGGAAACCUACAUCGGCUUCAAAGAGUUCUUCCCACUUGGUCACUAUGUAGAGAAGGAGUGGCAUGGAAGGGAAAACUGCAGAAGCAGUGCCAUGGACAACGCUUUUAUUAUAAAUUUGGCACCUUCAGAUUCAGAGCCUAUCAGCUUCCAGAGCUCCUCUCUCGCUCUCUCGCUCUCUCUCUCUCUCUCUCUCUCUCUCUCUCUCUCUCUCUCUCAACAUGAGUGGUCAGAUUUCCAUACACAUUUUUGAAUUGAAAUACAUGACUUAAAAGUCCCAAUCUCGGGACCCCUGGGUGACUCAGUCAGUUAAGCAUCCGACUGUAACUUACAGCUUGUAAGUUCAACCCCCACAUCUGGCUCUGUGCUAACAGUUCUGAGCCUGCUUCGAAUUCUGUGUCUCCCUCUUUUUCUCUACCCCUCCCCUGGUCAUGCUCUGUCUCUCUCUGUGUCAAAAAUAAAUAAUCAUUAAAGAAUUUUUUUUUAAGUCCCAAUCUCAAAAUUU
rnacentral:lncRNA from 1 species